rnacentral:rRNA from 1 species
GCAUAUCAAUAAGCGGAGGAUGAGAAACAAACAUGGAUUCCCCUUAGUUAGCGGCGAAGCGAAGCGGGAUGAAGCCCAGAAUGAUAAGCUCCCGUCAGGGCGCAUUGUAAUCUGGAGACGUGCCUCGUGCAGGGCGGCUAGGCUUCAGGUCUGCUGGAAAGCAGCAUCGGAGAGGGUGAAAAUCCCGUGCUUGGUCUGGCUAUAGCGCUGUUUGGUGGGGCACGCUCGACGAGUCGCGUUGUUUGGGAAUGCAGCGCAAAGAAGGGUGGUAAACGCCAUCCAAGGCUAAAUAUUGGGGAGAGACCGAUAGCGAACAAGUACCGUGAGGGAAAGAUGAAAAGAACUUUGGAAAGAGAGUUAAACAGUACGUGAAAUUGCCAAAAGGGAAGCGCUGGCAGUCAGUACCGCAAGGUGUUGCCCUGUCUUCUGGUGUUCGCGCCGGGACUGUGGGGUGCACGUGGGGCUCACGUCGGUUUGCGGCUUGGGGGAGAAGUCUGUGUUGGAAGGUGGCUCGUGCGUUUUCGUGCGAGUGUUUAUAGCCACGCAGCGGAUACCCYGCCUAUGCAGAUMGAGGAAUCCUUUUUUUAAAAGUAGGAUGUGGGCUUAAUGGCUUUCAGCGGCCCGUCUUGAAACACGGACCAAGGAGUCUAACAUGUAUGCGAGUAUGCGGGUGGCAAACCCAGAGUGCGUAAUGAAAGUGAUUUUGGUACGAUUCCGUAACAGGAUGCAGUACCGGCCGACCUUGAGGGUGCGCCCAAAAGAGGUUUGAGCAGGAGCAUACAUGUUGGGACCCGAAAGAUGGUGAACUUUGCCUGGCGAGGAUGAAGCCAGGGGAAACCCUGGUGGAGGUCCGUUGCGGUUCUGACGUGCAAAUCGAUCGUAUCAGCUGGGUAAAGGGGCGAAAGACUAAUCGAACCAUCUAGUAGCUGGUGCUGC